UUGCUGCUCUCAGUGUAGAACCGAAGCGGAGACAAAAAGCUUGAUCCGAGCUGCUCCGGAGGUGCUUGGCUGCCCACGUGCCCAGCCUAGAUGACUCGGAGGGAUAUUCCUGAGCAAGAUACAGGGUUUUCUCCAUGGAGCUAAAUAUAACUUUUGAGCAGGGAAUAUGGUGACUCUGCCAGGGGAGGGAUCCCAGGCUGAGCCAGAGGGCCAGGGAUGGGGCAGGCCAGGGAUGGGAGGCUAGGAACGCUUCUCAGUGGACCUGAUACGCAGAUUGAGUUGAGGAGCUGUGGAACCAGCUCUCCAGAAGCGUCUCCAGCACAAACUCAGAAGGAUAGAGAAAGAAAAGAAGGGGACUGGAAUUGAGGAGACAGCAUGCUGACAGAAAGCACAGCUUGACUCAGGGAGGCUGAGAAAGUGGUGAAGGACCAUACCAGAAGAAAGGCUUGUUUGAAACACCCUAUGGCAGAGCCCAAGUGACACUGUUUAAAGCGGCAUGUGGAAUGACGGCCAAGGCCAGUGUUCUCCUGGAAGUUCAAAGUGUGAGAAUGGGAUGGAGCCAGCCAGGAAAACACUCUGCUUCUCAGAGGACUUCAAAGACUGAGAGAAGACACAGAACUGGAGGAGUGUAGACUAUGAAAGAAAUCCUUCCUCUUGAUCCUCUGACUCCGGAUGUAUCCUCAUCCAUUCAUUCGGAAGGUGCAGAGGAGGGAGCCAAGCCCUUGGGACCAGACAGACAGCCAUCUGCCACACAGAGGCCUGCUCAUAUGCCCGGAAAGUCGAGAGCCACACAGGCUGCAUUUCUGCUCCACGGGCCUUGAAGUGGAGAAGACGGCUUGCUGCCAUUUUAUUCGGUCCUGUGGCUCCCGUGAAACUCCAGUCCCCACGCUCCUCACUGGGCCUCUUAAAGGUCCAUCUGUUUCCCCUCUCAACAAACUGACCUGUGUGGGCAAUAAUACCGAAGACCCUCCUCCAAGCUGUGACAGAUCAUUGAAAAUUGCUAGGAAAAGAACUGCAUCAUAACGACCCCAAUACUACGUCAGACCCGGAGAUCCCUAGGCGUGCUUUCUACCCCCAGAGUGUUUUCAGAGCAUGUGUCACUGCUUUGCGGCAGGCUUGUACUGUGAGCAUCCUCAUAACGGACACUUCCUCUGCGGCCCAGUUUACUUUUUUAUACGCUUAGUCAUGCAUACAGAUCCUAGCCGUGGCGACUGACUCAAAAUAACUCAUUUGGGGGCACUACAAAAAGAGUCUUUAUCGGCUGUUUUAAUAACAACACAGCCCACAUUAAACAGCUCAGUUUGGCUGCUUAGAUAUUCCUUCUCAAAUCAUGUCAUAUACAUUUUUGGAAACUACAUUAAAAUACUACGUAUUCUCCCAUCCUCCAACCCUUCAGUCUUUGUUUAUUGCUUUAGUUCAUUCCUGGAUUUUCUCCCUAAGCUGUGGGUAAGGAGUGCCACGGAUAAGUUCAUUUUUUUUGCUUCAAAGUGACAGAAAUGUCUGAUUUCUCUCUGGUUUUGGAAAAACUGAGUAGUCAUAGAAGAUCUAAAGCAGAAAAUCUCAAACCUCUUCAAGGGAGCUGCCUCUUGCUCUCCUUUCCUCUCUCCUUCUCUUUCUUCUUCCUGUCCUUUCCUUCCCUCCCUCCAUGUUUCCUAAAUAUCUGUAAUGUGCCCGCCAUUGUUCUAGAUGAGGAAUCAGACACAAAGGGGAGCAAGUACAGUGUCCCACAGUCUUCUGAAUGUCUUUAAGAAGACAACCUGAGAAAUAGAUAACAUGGCUUUCGUUGGUAUGAAAUCAUCCCAAGAUGUCCCUGCAUGCUUCGGGGGACACCUUCCUGGUUCAUAAUUCCUUUUCCUGCAGACUUCUCUGUUCAGGGCACAGGCCUAGAAAGGCACGAGACCGAGGACUUUAUUACUCACAGCAGCUGACGUGAGACAACAUUUUUUGGUACUGGUCCUGAGCCCCACUUCCACAGGGCAACGUGGAGAGGGACAGAUGACCCGUGUCACACCCACACAUGGCAGCUUGCUUACGAGAGAGGAUUCCUGAUUGCAGAGAACCCAAAUCUUUUUCAAUGCCUACCCUUUUCUUCAAUAGGAGACCUUACUCAACUUCUGAGAGUGCUUGAUAGGCGUGGAGAUUCUCCCCCUGUACGCCUUUCUCUUGCCCUCUGGAAUCCAAAUAAAACUAAAGGAGCUGUCAAGUGUCAGGUGAGACGUAAGUGCCUCCCUCCCCUCCACUGCCCCCCUCCGGUUAAAGCCCCAGCUAUUGUCCCUGCCCUGUUGGCUCUCUUUUCCUACUCUGCCUUCUCCUUCUUACCCUUGUCCGUAUUCUGCUCAGCUGGGAGCACAGGCCUGAGCGCUGAUGGCGUAGGAGCUCCAAUUUGAGAUCCAUUUAUCAAGAGCUGGAAUUGGCAAACCAUGGGCCCAGCCAAAUAGAUUGCAGUCUGUUUUUGUGCAUCUCUGGAGCUAGGGGUGAUACUUAGAUUUUUAAAAGGGUGUGUGUGUGUGUGUGUGUGUGUGUGUGUAUAAAACAAUAUGAGACAGAGCCCGCAAACCUGAAAUAUUUACUAUCUCAAACUUUAUAGGAAAAGUUUGCCAACUCCUAUUGUAGGAGAAAUUGUCAUGUUAUAGGGGAAAGGGGACCAUACAGAAAACAGCAGCAUGGAUGGACGUGCUGGGGGACCGGGCUAGCAUGCUAUCUCUUCAUUCUUCGAGGCAUCCUGCGUACCUCCUUGGUAGAGAGCAGACUGUAUGAUCUUCUUCAUGCCUUAGAAAGUGCAAAUUUCUCAGGCUCUAAAAUCGUACUCUCCGUCUCUGUCUCUCUCCGUUGCUCUCUCUUACUGUUGUGAAUUAAGUCAGGAAAAGUGAAGAGAAGCAUGUGAAUUAUUGUUCCAAUUAUGAUAUGUGAUUCAAACACGUGAGGGACCUUGGCUCAUCUUCCUCUCCGGGUUAAGUGCAGUUACAGCAUCAAUUAGGAUUUAGAUGAUGUUCUCAGAUCUGGGGAAUGGAUUGCUGGGUGCCAGGAAAAUA